UACGUAGGGCGCAAGCGUUGUCCGGAAUUAUUGGGCGUAAAGAGCUCGUAGGCGGUUUGUCGCGUCUGCUGUGAAAACUCGAGGCUCAACCUCGGGCUUGCAGUGGGUACGGGGCAGACUAGAGUGCGGUAGGGGUGACUGGAAUUCCUGGUGUAGCGGUGGAAUGCGCAGAUAUCAGGAGGAACACCGAUGGCGAAGGCAGGUCACUGGGCCGCAACUGACGCUGAGGAGCGAAAGCAUGGGGAGCAA
rnacentral:rRNA from 1 species